CCGUCACGCCUUGCCGCCACGCCUUGCCGCCGCGGUCGAAGAGCUCGCGAAGAGAGAGAGAGAAAAUCCACGACCAAGGAGAGGAAGAGGGGUGUCUCGUCGCCGUCGCGCUCUGCCACUGUCGCCGCUUCCGCCGGUGCUGCUGACCUCGCCGCCGCUGGUCCUCCCUAGGAAAGAAAAAGAAGAGAUGCUGUUGUUGUGAUGGAGAAGAAAAAAAAAAGAAUAAUAUAAAUAAGAUAUUUUGGUGAAAAAGAAUAAGGGUAUUUUGGUCGAAAAGAUGAUUUUGUUCAGCCUAUAAUUUAUUGACGAAAAUCGUACUUAACCCAAACAUAAAAAGAUAAAUGUUCAACAGGUAUUCUGGUAGUUACUAACUAGAGAAUGAGGAGAAUGGCACAGCAAACGUUGUCCGUGU